GCCAUGGUGGUUCAAUGUUAAAAUUACUACCUUCCAUGUGGAAGAGCCAGGUUCGAUUCCUGGCCAGAGCA
rnacentral:tRNA from 1 species